rnacentral:rRNA from 1 species
UACGUAGGGGGCUAGCGUUGUCCGGAUUUAUUGGGCGUAAAGAGCUCGUAGGUGGUUCGGUAAGUCGGAUGUGAAACCUCCAGGCUCAACCUGGAGACGCCAUCUGAUACUGCCGUGGCUUGAGUCCGGUAGAGGAGCAGGGAAUUCCUGGUGUAGCGGUGAAAUGCGCAGAUAUCAGGAGGAACACCAGCGGCGAAGGCGGCGCUCUGGGCUGGCACCGACACUGAGGAGCGAAAGCGUGGGGAGCGAACAGG